rnacentral:rRNA from 1 species
UGGAAGUAAAAAGUCGUAACAAGGUCUCCGUAGGUGAACCUGCGGAGGGAUCAUUACAGAGACUCUGCCCUUUGGGUAGACCUCCCACCCUGUGUCGUUAUACCUUCGUUGCUUUGGCGGGCCGCGGGGCCCCGGCCCCGCCCCUGGCUCCGGCUAGGGCGCGCCCGCCAGAGGACCUCAAAACCUGAAUGUUAGUGUCGUCUGAGUACUAUAUAAUAGUUAAAACUUUCAACAACGGAUCUCUUGGUUCUGGCAUCGAUGAAGAACGCAGCGAAAUGCGAUAAGUAAUGUGAAUUGCAGAAUUCAGUGAAUCAUCGAAUCUUUGAACGCACAUUGCGCCCCUUGGUAUUCCGGGGGGCAUGCCUGUUCGAGCGUCAUUACAACCCUCAAGCUCUGCUUGGUCUUGGGCGUCACCGGUCCCGGUGUGCCUUAAAAUCAGUGGCGGCGCCAUCUGGCUCUAAGCGUAGUACAUACUCUCGCUACAGACGUCCGGUGGAUGCUGGCCAGCAACCCCCAACUUAUCAAGGUUGACCUCGGAUCAGGUAGGGAUACCCGCUGAACUUAAGCAUAUCAAUA